rnacentral:rRNA from 1 species
GUCCAGACUCCUACGGGAGGCAGCAGUGGGGAAUAUUGGACAAUGGGGGGAACCCUGAUCCAGCGACGCCGCGUGAGUGAAGAAGUAUUUCGGUAUGUAAAGCCCUAUCGGCAGGGAAGAAGGAGGACGGUACCUGACUAAGAAGCCCCGGCUAACUACGUGCCAGCAGCCGCGGUAAUACGUAGGGGGCAAGCGUUAUCCGGAUUUACUGGGUGUAAAGGGGGCGCAGACGGCAGCGCAAGCCAGGAGUGAAAGCCCGGGGCCCAACCCCGGGACUGCUCUUGGAACUGCGCGGCUGGAGUGCAGGAGGGGCAGGCGGAAUUCCUGGUGUAGCGGUGAAAUGCGUAGAUAUUAGGAGGAACACCAGUGGCGAAGGCGGCUUACUGGACUGUAACUGACGUUGAGGCUCGAAAGCGUGGGGAGCAAACAGGAUUAGAUACCCCAGUAC